rnacentral:rRNA from 1 species
AAGCGCUUACAACCAGACUUGCGCGCGGCGGUUCCCCCUUCCUUUUGGUUGGGCUACUCCGUCGUGUCCAGGCCAACAUCGGUUCUGGGGGUCGGUUAAAGACCCUGGGAAUGUAUCUACCCUUCGGGCGUAGACUUAUAGCCCAGGGU